UGAGUAAUAAUAUAAAAAGUAUGCAAAUUUUGUAAAUUUGUUGUGCUACUCUAGCUUACUCAA
rnacentral:tRNA from 1 species